UAGGGAAUCUUCCGCAAUGGACGAAAGUCUGACGGAGCAACGCCGCGUGAGUGAUGAAGGUUUUCGGAUCGUAAAACUCUGUUAUCAGGGAAGAACAAGUAUCGGAGUAACUGCCGGUACCUUGACGGUACCUGACCAGAAAGCCACGGCUAACUACGUGCCAGCAGCCGCGGUAAUACGUAGGUGGCAAGCGUUGUCCGGAAUUAUUGGGCGUAAAGCGCGCGCAGGCGGUUUCUUAAGUCUGAUGUGAAAGCCCACGGCUCAACCGUGGAGGGUCAUUGGAAACUGGGGGACUUGAGUGCAGAAGAGAAGAGCGGAAUUCCACGUGUAGCGGUGAAAUGCGUAGAGAUGUGGAGGAACACCAGUGGCGAAGGCGGCUCUUUGGUCUGUAACUGACGCUGAGGCGCGAAAGCGUGGGGAGCAAACAGGAUUAGAUACCCCCGUAGUCC
rnacentral:rRNA from 1 species